GAUGAACGCUAGCUACAGGCUUAACACAUGCAAGUCGAGGGGCAGCACGGAGAUAGCUUGCUAUCUUGGGUGGCGACCGGCGCACGGGUGAGUAACGCGUAUCCAACCUACCCAUUACUCUGGGAUAGCCUUGCGAAAGUAAGAUUAAUACCGGAUGUUGUUAAAAACCCGCAUGAGUUUUUAACCAAAGAUUUAUUGGUAAUGGAUGGGGAUGCGUGACAUUAGGUAGUUGGUGAGGUAACGGCUCACCAAGCCGACGAUGUCUAGGGGUUCUGGGAGGAAGGUCCCCCACACUGGAACUGAGACACGGUCCAGACUCCUACGGGAGGCAGCAGUGAGGAAUAUUGGUCAAUGGACGAGAGUCUGAACCAGCCAAGUAGCGUGCAGGAUGACGGCCCUCUGGGUUGUAAACUGCUUUUAGUUGGGAAUAAAAAGAGGGACGUGUCCCUAAUUGUAUGUACCAUCAGAAAAAGGACCGGCUAAUUUCGUGCCAGCCGCCGCAGUAAUAC
rnacentral:rRNA from 1 species